rnacentral:rRNA from 1 species
CGAGCAGUAGGGGUUCUGAGAGGAAGGUCCCCCACAUUGGAACUGAGACACGGUCCAAACUCCUACGGGAGGCAGCAGUGAGGAAUAUUGGUCAAUGGGCGAGAGCCUGAACCAGCCAAGUAGCGUGCAGGAAGACGGCCCUAUGGGUUGUAAACUGCUUUUAUAAGGGAAUAAAGUGAGUCUCGUGAGACUUUUUGCAUGUACCUUAUGAAUAAGGACCGGCUAAUUCCGUGCCAGCAGCCGCGGUAAUACGGAAGGUCCGGGCGUUAUCCGGAUUUAUUGGGUUUAAAGGGAGCGUAGGCCGGAGAUUAAGCGUGUUGUGAAAUGUAGACGCUCAACGUCUGCACUGCAGCGCGAACUGGUUUCCUUGAGUACGCACAAAGUGGGCGGAAUUCGUGGUGUAGCGGUGAAAUGCUUAGAUAUCACGAAGAACUCCGAUUGCGAAGGCAGCUCACUGGAGCGCAACUGACGCUGAAGCUCGAAAGUGCGGGUAUCGAACAGGAUUAGAUACCCUGGUAGUCCGCACGGUAAACGAUGGAUGCCCGCUGUUGGUCUGAACAGGUCAGCGGCCAAGCGAAAGCAUUAAGCAUCCCACCUGGGGAGUACGCCGGCAACGGUGAAACUCAAAGGAAUUGACGGGGGCCCGCACAAGCGGAGGAACAUGUGGUUUAAUUCGAUGAUACGCGAGGAACCUUACCCGGGCUUGAAUUGCAGAGGAAGGAUUUGGAGACAAUGACGCCCUUCGGGGUCUCUGUGAAGGUGCUGCAUGGUUGUCGUCAGCUCGUGCCGUGAGGUGUCGGCUUAAGUGCCAUAACGAGCGCAACCCCUCUCCUUAGUUGCCAUCAGGUUAAGCUGGGCACUCUGGGGACACUGCCACCGUAAGGUGUGAGGAAGGUGGGGAUGACGUCAAAUCAGCACGGCCCUUACGUCCGGGGCUACACACGUGUUACAAUGGCAGGUACAGAGAGACGGUUGUACGUAAGUACGAUCAAAUCCUUAAAGCCUGUCUCAGUUCGGACUGGGGUCUGCAACCCGACCCCACGAAGCUGGAUUCGCUAGUAAUCGCGCAUCAGCCAUGGCGCGGUGAAUACGUUCCCGGGCCUUGUACACACCGCCCGUCAAGCCAUGAAAGCCGGGGGCGCCUAAAGUCCGUGACCGUAAGGAGCGGCCUAGGGCGAAACUGGUAAUUGGGGCUAAGUCGUAACAAGGUA